rnacentral:misc_RNA from 1 species
CGCAAGGAGGGGGAUGCCUAAGGCAGGGCUAGUGACUGGGGUGAAGUCGUAACAAGGUAGCCGUACCGGAAGGUGUGGCUGGAUCACCUCCUUAAAGGGAGACCUAAUUCGGGUAGGAGACGAAAAAAAAGUAGUCGCUACCAAGAAUCAAUCCCAAAAGGUCGGAGCGAGGCGAAAUUGGCUUUCAAACUAGGUUCUGGGUUCACACAAGACCUGAAUCAGGAACAAGGGCUAUUAGCUCAGGUGGUUAGAGCGCACCCCUGAUAAGGGUGAGGUCCCUGGUUCGAGUCCAGGAUGGCCCACCUGUACAGGUGGCCAAAACCAAAAAAACAAGCAAGGAA